UACUGUAACAAUAUUUAUAUUGCAAAGCAGUUAAAAAUACUCAAUAUAAAGAGUAUAUAUGAAAUGACUAUUUGUUUUUGUUUUUAUACAUCUUCUUCUUUCCAAAAAAAAAAAAUCCCUUUUUCAUUGUGCUGCCACCUGUUUAAGUUUCUUCUUCUUCUAUUCAGUAGCUCUAUUACAGGGUGCACACGACAAACCCCACCACUCCUGUUAUCCAUCCCUGGACACAGGAUGGGAGGGAAAAAAAGCACCCUAAUAUUUCUGAACAACCCUAAUGUCCUAAAACUUUUCUGGGAUUUUGGGUAUUCCAUUAUUCCCAUACAAAAAAUUUGCGCUAUGGCAACCCUUUAUUCAUUCGAGAACAAAAGUACAACUCUGUACCGCCGUUAAAAACUGGCCAGGCGGCGACGUACUGUGAACAGCUGCUUGAAUGAAUGGUAGAGGAGGAGGCAAAUAAGAAAAAUACUACGCGUGGGUGAAGAAGAAGCACCCAAACAAAAAAAAUAUCAAUGGAUACAACGAGGUUCUGGUGGAUUUCUAUGGCCGUAUAAGGGGAUUUUAAAUAAGAUAUCAUGUUGGCGGCCCUGGGCCUAUAUAAAAAAAACUGAUGGCCGAUUCUGAAAGAUGGCGGAUCGAAGCAGAAUGAAAUGGUUUUGUUCCAGAUGGGCCAGUGGACUAAGGAUUAAGGUGGUUCCGGGAAUUUAAGGUAAGUGUAAUGGAUUAUAUUUGAAAUAUAAAAAGUGG